rnacentral:rRNA from 1 species
CAGCCGCCGCGGUAAUACGUAGGGUGCGAGCGUUAAUCGGAUUUACUGGGCGUAAAGCGUGCGCAGGCGGCCCGUUAAGACAGGUGUGAAAUCCCUGGGCUCAACCUAGGAAUUGCGCUUGUGACUGGCGGGCUCGAGUACGGUAGAGGGGGGUGGAAUUCCUGGUGUAGCAGUGAAAUGCGUAGAGAUCAGGAGGAACACCGAUGGCGAAGGCAGCCCCCUGGGCCUGUACUGACGCUCAUGCACGAAAGCGUGGGGAGCAAACAGGAUUAGAUCCCCUGGUAGUCAACGCCCUAAACGAUGGGUACUAGCCGUUUGGUGCGCGAUAGCGCUGAGUGGCGAAGCUAACGCGAGAAGUACCCCGCCUGGGGAGUACGGCCGCAAGGUUGAAACUUAAAGGAAUUGGCGGG